GCAAGUCGAACGAACUCUGGUAUUGAUUGGUGCUUGCAUCAUGAUUUACAUUUGAGUGAGUGGCGAACUGGUGAGUAACACGUGGGAAACCUGCCCAGAAGCGGGGGAUAACACCUGGAAACAGAUGCUAAUACCGCAUAACAACUUGGACCGCAUGGUCCGAGUUUGAAAGAUGGCUUCGGCUAUCACUUUUGGAUGGUCCCGCGGCGUAUUAGCUAGAUGGUGGGGUAACGGCUCACCAUGGCAAUGAUACGUAGCCGACCUGAGAGGGUAAUCGGCCACAUUGGGACUGAGACACGGCCCAAACUCCUACGGGAGGCAGCAGUAGGGAAUCUUCCACAAUGGACGAAAGUCUGAUGGAGCAACGCCGCGUGAGUGAAGAAGGGUUUCGGCUCGUAAAACUCUGUUGUUAAAGAAGAACAUAUCUGAGAGUAACUGUUCAGGUAUUGACGGUAUUUAACCAGAAAGCCACGGCUAACUACGUGCCAGCAGCCGCGGUAAUACGUAGGUGGCAAGCGUUGUCCGGAUUUAUUGGGCGUAAAGCGAGCGCAGGCGGUUUUUUAAGUCUGAUGUGAAAGCCUUCGGCUCAACCGAAGAAGUGCAUCGGAAACUGGGAAACUUGAGUGCAGAAGAGGACAGUGGAACUCCAUGUGUAGCGGUGAAAUGCGUAGAUAUAUGGAAGAACACCAGUGGCGAAGGCGGCUGUCUGGUCUGUAACUGACGCUGAGGCUCGAAAGUAUGGGUAGCAAACAGGAUUAGAUACCCUGGUAGUCCAUACCGUAAACGAUGAAUGCUAAGUGUUGGAGGGUUUCCGCCCUUCAGUGCUGCAGCUAACGCAUUAAGCAUUCCGCCUGGGGAGUACGGCCGCAAGGCUGAAACUCAAAGGAAUUGACGGGGGCCCGCACAAGCGGUGGAGCAUGUGGUUUAAUUCGAAGCUACGCGAAGAACCUUACCAGGUCUUGACAUACUAUGCAAAUCUAAGAGAUUAGACGUUCCCUUCGGGGACAUGGAUACAGGUGGUGCAUGGUUGUCGUCAGCUCGUGUCGUGAGAUGUUGGGUUAAGUCCCGCAACGAGCGCAACCCUUAUUAUCAGUUGCCAGCAUUAAGUUGGGCACUCUGGUGAGACUGCCGGUGACAAACCGGAGGAAGGUGGGGAUGACGUCAAAUCAUCAUGCCCCUUAUGACCUGGGCUACACACGUGCUACAAUGGAUGGUACAACGAGUUGCGAACUCGCGAGAGUAAGCUAAUCUCUUAAAGCCAUUCUCAGUUCGGAUUGUAGGCUGCAACUCGCCUACAUGAAGUCGGAAUCGCUAGUAAUCGCGGAUCAGCAUGCCGCGGUGAAUACGUUCCCGGGCCUUGUACACACCGCCCGUCACACCAUGAGAGUUUGUAACACCCAAAGUCGGUGGGGUAACCUUUUAGGAACCAGCC
rnacentral:rRNA from 1 species